GGCAGAGGGUGCAAGCGUUGUUCGGAAUUAUUGGGCGUAAAGCGCACGUAGGCGGCUCGUUAAGUCGGGUGUGAAAGCCCGGGGCUCAACCCCGGAAGUGCACUUGAAACUGGCGGGCUCGAGUCCCGGAGAGGGUGGUGGAAUUCCUGGUGUAGAGGUGAAAUUCGUAGAUAUCAGGAGGAACACCCGAGGCGAAGGCGACCACCUGGACGGUGACUGACGCUGAGGUGCGAAAGCGUGGGGAGCAAACAGG
rnacentral:rRNA from 1 species